rnacentral:lncRNA from 1 species
UCAAAGACUAAAUGGAUUUCAAGAGAUAUGAGAGAGAAAGCUAAGAACAAAAAGAAAAAUAGAAAGAGAUAUAGAGAGAAAGAGGGUCCGUAAAUUAAAAAGAAAGGGGAGAGAGUUUGAUAUUCCAUGCUACCCAAGUUCCUUAAUUAUUUUGGUAGGAGAAGAAGAAUAACUCAGAAGAUCAAGGUAUAAAUCCUAACUUAGUUUAUUCCAUUUAUUGUGUUUGUUUUGAUGAAAUAUCAAGCUAUGAUCUUGAACUCAAGAACCUUAAAUAUACAAGUUUUAUAGUGUUUUAUGUGUAGAUCUAAUCAUUUUUUGUGUUAAACAAAGUUUGAUCAAAGAAAGAAAAACCAAAACAGUUUUUAUACUUAGAAAACUCUAGCUUUUGUUUACUUUAAAUGAGUACCAUUUGAAAUUUACACAUCUUUUUUGUGAUCCGUCAAAGAUGCGUGCUAGAUAUAUAAGUUAGCUUUUAAACUCAAGUUGGUAGCACUCAAAAAUGUUAACUACACAAGAAAUGACAAAUGUUUUAGUACAAAUUGUCUAGGUGAAACAAAAAGAGGAAAAAAACUGUUCCAGGCCAGUUUGAUCUAGGGGCAAUCUUGUCCUUUUUCUUUACUCUAAAAAUUUUGAGAAAAUUUGGUAGGUUAGUAUGAUGAGUUAACAAGGUUCAGUCUAAAGAUGGUGAUUUGUGGAUGUGUGAAUGAAAAGUUAUGAUUUUUACAAAAAAAGAUUAUUUUAAAAGUAAAAGGGAAUAACUCUUUGUGUGUAGCUCCAACAAUUGUAAACUUUUUACUGGAAGUUGGAAGUAGAUGUGCAUAACAGGAGUAUGCCCUAAACAUUUCGUAAUUUGUGGACAAAGGAAUAAUUUAUUAAAAAUGUUUCAAGAUCCGACUAUUUAGGACAGUUUAAAAAUAGCAAAUUAAACUAAAUAAUUCCAAAAAAAUAUAUAUGUUCAUGAGGAUAUCAUAUUAUGAUGAUUUCUAGAAAAGAAAAAUUUUAGAGAUGUUUUGGUAUUUUUCAUGUAAAUAUUUGAGUUAUGAAUAAAUAAGAAUAAUAAGUUAUGUGAUGUCAUAAAUGGUGAAAAUGUGAUUUUAUGACUUAAAGAUCCUAAAUAUGCUAAAUAUGAUGUAAUCAAAUUUUGGAGGGUACUUUGGUCAUUUCUAAUAAAAUUUUAUAUUUAUGACAUUUUAUAGUUGCUAAAAAAUGAAUUAGUAAAGGGUAAACAAUUAAAAUAAAUUGUUUUUGAGUUUAAUAAAUGAUUAAAAUAUUAUUAAAUGAUUAAUAAUAUUAGAUUAAAAUAUUAUUAAAUGAUUACUAAUAUUAGUAAUUGAUUUUAGAUAUUAUUAAAUGAUUAAUAAUAUUAGAAGUUAAUUUAAAAUAUUAUUAAAUAAUUAAUAAUAUUAGAUUAUGAUUAAAAUAUUAAUAAUAUUUGUAAAUGAUUAUAAUAUUAUUAAAUAAUUAAUAGUAUUACUAAAUAGUUAAAAUAUUAGUAAAUGAUUUGAAUAUUAUUAAAUGAUUAAUAAUAUUAAAGUAUGAUUAAAAUAUUAUUAAAUGAUUAAUAAUAUUAGUAAAUGAUUUGAAUAUAAUUAAAUGAUUAAUAAUAUUAAAGUAUGAUUAGAAUAUUAUUAAAUGAUUAAUAAUAUUCGUAAGGGACUAAGAUAUUAUUAAAUAGUUAAUAAUAUUAAGAAGUGAAUAAGAUAUUAUUAAGUGCUUAUUAAUAUGAGACGGAAGUUUUAAGAUGAUGAUUAAGUGAUAAAUCUUUCAUAAGAUUAAAUUAAAUUGCGUAGCAGUAAUUGACGAACAAGACAAGUUUCUUAACUCAAACUCGAGUUAUUAUGUUUCAAGCAUGCUAGUGGUUUAAUUAUUGAUAAUUAUUCCACAUCUAGUGUUUCAAGCAUGCUAGUGUUUUAUCACAUAAAAAAAGGUAAAAAAGAAAAGAAAAGAGUAAGCAUAAUGGACUCAAAUCGGUAAUCCGAUAAGUAUUGGUACUUUUAAGGGCUCAAUUUCAAAAUGAGUGGAACUUUGAAGGAUUAAAGUGCUAUAGCCCUAUAAAUAAUCCAUAUGUACUGAAUCAAUUACAUGAAUAAUAAAAAAAAUUAACAUUAAUUUUGAUGUUUAAGCGGAUGCAAUAGGAUAUAAAAUAAUUACAAAUUGAAAACAUGUGAAAAACGAAGAAUGAAAAAAGAAAAGAAAAGAAAAAAACAUAAAUAAGAAAAGUGUGGGUAAGGUAAUGGAAUGAUAAGUUUGGAAAUUAAUUUAGCAGUACUAUAAUACAAAGUAUAAUGAAGUAAUUUUAUUUAUUUCCAGGGUGGGCGAUAUGUUGCUUCGCCAAUGACUUUUUUGGUUGAGCGGAGUGGAAUGAAAUGAGGCAGUCAUUCCUAUUCUCAUUUCAUUCCGUAGUCCAUUCCAUUUCAUUAAGUUUAAGGAAUGGCUCUGCUAGAGCCCAACAGAUUUGAAAAAUUAACUUUUGCUCGCGAGCCACGAAACUUAAAAGCGGCUUUAUCAUAAGCUAAUGCUGCAUCCUCCGGCUUAUCAAAGGUCCCCAACCAUAUUCUUCUUCCUUUCUGAGCAGGGUCCCUUAUCUCCGCGGCAAACUUUCCCCACGGACGUCGCCUUACACCUCUAUAUCGUUUCCAUUCCUUCGGCGCCUCCACCGUCUUUUUUGUUUCGUCGUACCCCAACAUUGC